CCUACGGGAGGCUGCAGUGGGGAAUAUUGGACAAUGGGGGGAACCCUGAUCCAGCCAUGCCGCGUGUGUGAAGAAGGCCCUCGGGUUGUAAAGCACUUUCAGUGAGGAAGAACGCCUGGUGGUUAAUACCCAUCAGGAAAGACAUCACUCACAGAAGAAGCACCGGCUAACUCCGUGCCAGCAGCCGCGGUAAUACGGAGGGUGCGAGCGUUAAUCGGAAUUACUGGGCGUAAAGCGCGCGUAGGUGGCUUGAUAAGCCGGUUGUGAAAGCCCCGGGCUCAACCUGGGAAUGGCAUCCGGAACUGUCAAGCUAGAGUGCAGGAGAGGAAGGUAGAAUUCCCGGUGUAGCGGUGAAAUGCGUAGAGAUCGGGAGGAAUACCAGUGGCGAAGGCGGCCUUCUGGACUGACACUGACACUGAGGUGCGAAAGCGUGGGUAGCAAACAGGAUUAGAUACCCUAGUAGUC
rnacentral:rRNA from 1 species